GAAACACGGACCAAGGAGUCUAGCAUGUGCGCGAGUCAUUGGGACUCUUAUAAACCUAAAGGCGCAAUGAAAGUGAAGGUCCGCCUCGCGCGGACCGAGGGAGGAUGGGCCCGUCCACGGGCGGGCCCCGCACUCCCGGGGCGUCUCGUUCUCAUCGCGAGAAGAGGCGCACCCAGAGCGUACACGCUGGGACCCGAAAGAUGGUGACCUAUGCCUGGUCAGGACGAAGUCAGGGGAAACCCUGAUGGAGGUCCGUAGCGAUUCUGACGUGCAAAUCGAUCGUCGGAACUGGGUAUAGCGGCGAAAGACUCAUCGAACCUUCUAGUAGCUGG
rnacentral:rRNA from 1 species